CGCCGCCGGGCGCGCAUGCGCAGUGCCUGCGGGGGCGACCAGGGGUCAGGGCGCCGGAGGGUCCUUGGGGCAGGUGGGGGUCAGGGUCCCAGGCCCCCCCGUGGGAAGUUGGGGGCCUUCCCUUGUUUGCAGCCCCUGAGGUUCCCUCUGCACCGCAGGACCAGCCAUGGCGGCGCUGCGACUGCUGUACCGGGCUUCCCGCACAGGCCCCCCGGUCCCGCUGCGCCUGCUCAGCACCAGCACCCCCAGGGACUGCUACAAGUACGUCAACGUCCAGGAGCCCGCCAUGGACAUGCGCUCCAUCACCGACCGCGCCGCGCAGACCCUGCUCUGGACCGAGCUCAUCCGAGGCCUGGCCAUGACCAUGAGCUACCUGUUCCGGGAGCCGGCCACCAUCAACUACCCGUUCGAGAAGGGCCCGCUGAGCCCGCGGUUCCGCGGGGAGCACGCGCUGCGCCGCUACCCAUCCGGGGAGGAGCGCUGCAUUGCCUGCAAGCUCUGCGAGGCCGUGUGCCCAGCACAGGCCAUCACCAUCGAGGCCGAGCCCCGCGCCGACGGCAGCCGCCGCACCACCCGCUACGACAUUGACAUGACCAAGUGCAUCUACUGCGGGUUCUGCCAGGAGGCCUGUCCCGUGGAUGCCAUCGUGGAGGGUCCCAACUUCGAGUUUUCGACGGAGACACACGAGGAGCUGCUCUACAACAAGGAGAAGCUGCUCAACAACGGCGACAAGUGGGAGGCCGAGAUCGCUGCCAACAUCCAGGCCGAUUACCUGUACCGGUGACGGCCCCCCCAGCACCCACCCACCACCAAAUAAAGGGUCUGGGGGUUCACCCACCACCGGGGGCACCGGCCCCUUCCCGA